UUCGCCCUUCGGUUGAUCCUGCCGGACCCGACUGCUAUCAGAGUGAGAUUAAGCCAUGCGAGUCAACGUAGCAAUACGUGGCAUACGGCUCAGUAACACGUAGUCAACAUAACCAAAGGACGUGGAUAAACUCGGGAAACUGAGGCUAAACCGCGAUAGAUCAAGAUACCUGGAAUGGUUUUUGAUCAAAAUCUAUAUGGCCUUUGGAUUGGACUGCGUCCGAUCAGGCUGUUGGUGAGGUAAUGGCCCACCAAACCUAUAACCGGUACGGGCUCUGAGAGGAGGAGCCCGGAGAUGGGUACUGAGAUAAGGACCCAGGCCCUAUGGGGCGCAGCAGGCGCGAAACCUCUGCAAUAGGCGAAAGCUUGACAGGGUUACUCUGAGUGACUUUCGUUAAGAAAGUCUUUUGACACCUCUAAAAAUGGUGUAGAAUAAGGGGUGGGCAAGUCUGGUGUCAGCCGCCGCGGUAAUACCAGCACCCCGAGUGGUCGGGACGAUUAUUGGGCCUAAAGCAUCCGUAGCCGGCCUUACAAGUCCUCCGUUAAAUCCAGCUGCUUAACAGAUGGGCUGCGGAGGAUACUAUAAGACUAGGAGGCAGGAGAGGCAAGCGGUACUCAGUGGGUAGGGGUAAAAUCCGUUGAUCCAUUGAAGACCACCAGUGGCGAAGGCGGCUUGCCAGAAUGCGCUCGACGGUGAGGGAUGAAAGCUGGGGGAGCAAACCGGAUUAGAUACCC
rnacentral:rRNA from 1 species